ensembl:snRNA U2 U2 spliceosomal RNA
AUCGCUUCUUGGCCUUUUGGCUAAGAUGAAGUGUAAUAUUUGUUCUUAUCAGUUUACUGCUACAUGUCUCAUUUCCCUUCUCCACAAAAUAAAGAAAUUUUAAUGUUCUUUAAAGUCCUUCAGGUUCAAAACCUCU